ACACUGAUAAAUCUUAUCUUUUAGACUACGCUAUUUGUUUGUUUUUUUUUUUUGAUAAUCAUGGAGAUCCGGUGACUGAGGUCAACCGACUAAUCCCACAGUACUCUAUGUAUUCUUGCGAUUCAACGCUAGCUUGAAUUACCACACGGGGUUUCGAAGAUGGGUCCGUAUUGAGGCUUUUGCUCCGUCAAGACCACUAAUCCACCACCGUGUGGUUAACUACUACUACGCUAUUUGUUCCAAUUAUUUUGCUGAACUAUGUUACAUAACGUCACUCGAUCGCUACAGCUUUGAAAUUUGAAAAAGCACAAUUUUUUUCAGCAUUCCACUAGUCAGUUGUCACUUACCGUUUUGGAUUCUAAUAUUCC
rnacentral:lncRNA from 1 species